rnacentral:RNase_P_RNA from 1 species
GCAGUCUGUUAGACAAUCGCCCGUCAUAUAUUUUGGCUGGAGGAAAGUCCGGGCAGCGUAGGACAUGACAGUUGUUAACGGCAACCGGGGGAGACCCUAGGGAAAGUGCCACAGAAACAAAACUACCCUGAUUAAUAUCUGGGAAAAGGUGAAACGAGUGGGGUAAGAGCCCACAGCGGCGUCUGGUGACAGACGAAGAAGGUAAACCCUGUCAGCUGCAAGGAGAUCUGCAUAAGAGACGGUCCGUCUGCAGGUCGAUAUCCGCUUGAUCUCAUAGGCAACUGUGAGGCUAGAUAGAUGAUUGUCUCCGCUAUUUGCGGUACAGAACCCGGCUUAUCGACAGGCUGUAUAU